CGAAACCCUUCCUAAUUACGCCACUGACUGCAUCUCAUUACUAGCUUUCAAAGCGGAAAAACCAUAGACCGCCAUAUGAACAUGUUAAUGUUAAAACUAAUGUUGAAAAAUGGAUAAUGUUUAAGUUUUGCUCGGUAAAACCGAUUUUGUGCCGUUAGUUUAACAUUUUGUAUUUUGUUAGUUGGUUUCCACACGGGCUUACAUCGUGGAACCACUAUAAAUUUUUACUCCUGAAUAUUUUUUGUUCAUAAAUAAAUAAUAGUAACAAUAAUAAUGAUAUUGAUCGUGCUCGCGCGUUGGUUUUGAUCGGUAUUUAAAUUCUUUAAACGUGGAACGCGCGAGUGAAUUACUACAAUUUAAAAUAACGUCGUAUCUCAAUUGAAAAUUGGAAUAGCGAGAAAAAAACCAUCGCAAAAACGGAAUAUCUCUAAGUUUGGUAACGGGCCGAUUUAUUCAAAUAUUAAAACUCGCAGCACAAAAUCGAUACCACUGUAGGAAAAGUUGAUGUUUUCCAACUUUCAACAUUAGCCGUAAAAGGUCGGCUAGUCCAAGAUUCGUACGAUAUUCGGCACGUAUUCUUCCAUUAAAUUACGACGAAAAAGUACAAAUCGAUUUUAACAGAAAUCGUUGUUACCCGAAUAAUCCCGGUCUCUCCAUUAUUAAAUGAAAAGAGUUACAAAUAAUAUCAUAAAACCACUUUUCCGACGUGCCAUCAAAUUAGAUAAAAAUUACUACUAGAAACCAACCGCAAGAUUGCUCGUAGAAAAGUUGUUCGGACAAAAUAAAUUUAAAA